GGUUUUGUAGUCAAUUUAAUGAUAUUAGACUGCAAUUCUAAAGUUGAUUAGUUUUAAUCUAAAACCU
rnacentral:tRNA from 1 species